GCUCCAGCACCUCAAUGUCCUUCCUGUAGUGAGGGGCCCAGAACUGAACCCAGCCCUCGAGUUACCAACCUGCUGAACAUGGCCUCCUCCAGCGCCAUGGCUCAACACGGAGCUGGCUCUGCAUCGCCUGCACGAGGCUCGGGGCACCGUUCCAGUACGGAGCAGCCAUUCCCCAUUAAGAACCCACUUUGGGACUGGUUUGAACUGGGAGUCGCUCUGACUUGGCUCUUCCAGGGGCCAGAAUCUCUUUGCUAAAGGCGCCGGGUGCUGCCCGUUGCCACGUGAACGUCUCGUGGGGUGACUGACCCCGUCCCGGUGCAUCAAGUAGAGCUUGUUUGGGUCUGGGACAAUUUGGAGAAUGGAAUUUCUCCUGUGAAUGAGGGAAUAGUCGAUAAAACACCAGAUCUGCCCUGGCUAAAGCCCCGAGCGGGUCUGAUUGGCUCCCUCUUCUUUAACACCACUGGGGGCCUGCCCCCCUUGCCACCAGGAGCGAGAAUUGCCCUUUUUCCUCCUCUGCCGGAGGAAUUUAAGUUCUUUUUUCCUAUACAAUCUGGCAGGAAGCUCUGGAAAUGCUGCCUUCUGCCCACCCUGGAGACCCGAAUCCCAUCCUUUGGCUGAUUACCAUUGCGCAGGGAGAUGCCCCUUCUAACAAUUUGCCUGUGGCUGUUUAUCCAAAGGCUUGGAUACUUGGACCCCACUGGAACAGCAGUUGUUUCAAGAGGCUUUUUACACCCAUGUGAAAUGUGUUCACCUGAUUCGUGUUAAUAUCUUUAACUGUUCUGUUUGUCCUUGUGUGACCAUGGGCUUGGGAGAAGCGGGAUUGGAUGGAUGUAGUUUCUGUUUCUGGCAAGAACCUGAUGCCGAAUUUGCCCCAAAAGGCGAAAUAGAAACCGCUCAGAGACUCAGUUUUCAAGUCCAUAAGCAGGAGGUAUUGAUUAGCAACGCGUUGGGGAACUCUCCAGGCCGCCAAGGUGGGAGUG